CGGCAGAUAGCUGCCGGGGCGUCGAGGACCUGGAAGGACACAACGGAGAGGGGAGAAAGAGAAGUCCUGGACUUUAACAUAAAGAGAUUCCUGCACACGCUGCUUCCUGUGAAACAUGACCCAGCUCCCCAUGAAGCAGGUAAUGAGUGCAGACUCCCUGCUGGGCCUGUUUUAAUGUGGAUGGCGGCGCCGGUCGGGUCCAGACAUGUGCGGGUGGAUCUGAGGCGUUGCCUGUUCUCUCUGAAGAUGUCAAAUUACAUUUAAAUGAAAGUUUUGGUUCUGCCAGAACCUCUGUCCUGCCAAGAGUCAGAGAUUUAGGAGGAAAAUGGUUUAGUUAAAAUAUUUCAGCAUCUUAAGGCUUAUAAUUAUGUAAUUAUUCAUUUUAUGUAUGAAAGCUGCAAUAUUCCCUUUGAAAGGUUGGCAAUUAUGUUUUUAUAAUGACUUCAUGCUGAGUUACAAGUGCAGUCAUGUAUAAAAUGUAAAACACCCCAGUAAAUAUUCUGUUCUUUAAGAAGAAAAUGUCACUAAUUUAAUCCAGUUUUUUUAUAUCUCUGGAAAAUUAAUGUAUUUAUUUCCUCUUAAGCAAAAUAAACCAGGUUUUGCUAAAUGUC